CUGUAUACAGUUGACGUAAGAAAAAUCUAAAUGUCUGUGUUUGCAGCCAGCAUUUUCAGACAGAGGAUUUCGGAACGGAACUGAAGUCUCACUGAUGGGGUUGCAAUGUCGUUGAGCUUUGAAAAUUGAUGAUAUUCCACUGAAAUUCCCCUUCACCUCAAAGAGGAAGGCAUCUGAUCCGCGCAGCAGAAAAUAAGUUAAGCUGAGAGUAUGAUCCCAUCAACAUCUGCAGCGGUAUCAACAUCAAGCUCAGCACCAAGAACCUAAAAUCUACUAAAUCUUUCCAUAACUCCAUGAUGAGCAAAUAAAUAAACUGGAGCUAGGCAAAAACAUGGCCUGUGUCUUUUUGUCAUAGUUGGUGUGUUUACAAGUAGGCUACAACUUCUACUGUAGUUUUAUCUGUAUUAUGGAGGCUUAGUUGAUUGUUCAUGCAAGGCUUGAAGUUUACAUUGGGGAAAAAUAGGUAUUAGUAAGGAGGGGAUGGUGUGGGUGACUGACUUGUGUCUGUUGGAGGUGGGUAUUGUGUGAAGGUUAGUAUGCAUGAUCUAUUGACAUGAAUGGGGUGGGUGGAUAUGGUAUCUUGUUUGAGUGUGUAUUGAUGGGGACAAAGUAGUAAAAUGUUGCCUAAUCACUGACUUCUGUGUGUCCUACACACUAAUCCUGCUGCUGCUGCUGCUGAUGAUGAUGGCUUUGACACCGGCUUUAGUAGUACAGCGCCUGUAGAUCCAUUGGAUGAAAGCUUUCAGCCUGAAAUAAGCUCAAGCUCAACAACAUCUGAAUUUGAAACAAGCCAGGACAGCCAAAGAUGAACACAGAUUAUUGUAUGGUUACACAUCCUCAUGAUCAGUCUGGCUUUCCAGGAGACUUGCAGUACAAACAAAUCUUCUGCAAGAGGUCGAAGCAGUGGGGAGUGAAAAGGUGUACGAGAGGCCACAUGGCUGUGAAGUGCAGAAAAGAGCAGAUUGUUGUCUACAAGGAGCCAGAGUCACAGCUCCACUAAACAUCUCUGCCAACAUCACCACAGCGCCAAAGCCUGCUAAACCAGCUAACAUUUCCCAACACAAGAAGAGGUUCACCAGCUGAAAAACAUUCAGGAACCUACCUGGAACAUUCAACCAACAUAACAUCCAUAUUUUGUAAUAUAAUAUAUAAAUGCCUAGUAUGCUUACAACUGCAUUGUGGUAUAUAUGUUGCUAGCUGUUGUACAUACAGUUGAAGUGGGAAGUUUAUAUACACUUAGGUUGGAGUCAUUCAAAUUAGAUUUUCAACCACAAAACAAAUUUCUUGUAAUAAACUAUAGUUUUGCCAAGUCGGUUAGGACAUUAAUUUGUGCAUGACAAAAGUAAUUUUUCCAACAAUUGUUUACAGACAGAUUAUUUCACUUAUAAUAACUGUAUCACAUUUCCAGUGGGUCAGAAGUUUAAACACACAGUUGACUGUGCCUUUAAACAGCUUGGAAAAUUCCAGAAAAUCAUGGCUUUAGAAGCUUCUGAUUGACUCAAAUGAUGUCAAUUAGCCUAUUGGAGGUGUACCUGUGGAUGUAUUUCAAGGCCGACCUUCAAAUUCAGUUGCCUCUUUGCUUGACAUGGGAAAAUCAAAAGAAAUCAGCCAAGACCUCAGAAAAAGAAUUGUAGACCUCCACAAGUCUGGUUCAUCAUUGGGAGCAAUUUCCAAACACCUGAAGGUACCACGUUCAUCUGUACAAACAAUAGUACGCAAGUAUAAACACCAUGGGACCACGCAGCCGUCAUACCGCUCAGGAAGGAGACGUGUUCUGUCUCCUAGAGAUGAAAGUACUUUGGUGCAAAAAAUGCAAAUCAAUCCCAGAACAACAGCAAAGGACCUUGUGAAGAUGCUGGAGGAAACAGGUACAAAAGUAUCUAUAUCCACAGUAAGACAAGUCCUAUAUCGACAUAACCUGAAGAAAGGCCGCUCAGCAAGAAAGAAGCCGCUGCUCCAAAACUGCCAUAAAAAAGCCAAACUACGGUUUGCAAAUGCACAUGGAGAAAUGUCCUCUGGUCUGAUGAAACAAAAAUAAAACUGUUUGGCCAUAAUGACCAUCGUUAUGUUUGGAAGAAAAAGGGGAACGCUUGCAAGCCGAAGAACACCAUCCCAUCCGUGAAGCAGAUGGUGGCAGCAUCAUGUGAGGGUGCCUUGCUGCAGGAGGGACUGGUGCACUUCACAAAAUAGAUGGCUUCAUGAUGAAGGAAAAUUAUGUGGGUAUAUUGAAGCAACAUCUCAAGACAUCAGUCAGAAAGUUAAAGCUUGGUUGCAAAUGCGUCUUCCAAAUGGACAAUGACCCCAAGCAUACUUCUAAAGUUGUGGCAAAAUGGCUUAAGGACAACAAAGUCAAGGUAUUGGAGUGGCCAUCACAAAGCCCUGACCUUAAUCCUAUAGAAAAUGUGUGGGCAAAACUGAAAAGGCGUGGAGGCCUACAAUCCUGACUCAAUUACACCAGCUCUGUCAGGAGGAAUGGGCCAAAAUUCACCCAAUUUAUUGUGGGAAGCUUGUGGAAGACUACACGAAAUGCUUGACCCAAGUUAAACAAUUUAAAGGCAAUGCUACCAAAUACUAAUUGAGUGUAUGUAAACUUCUGACCCACUGGGAAUAUGAUGAAAGAAAUUAAAGCUGAAAUAGAUACUAUUAUUGUGACAUUUCACAUUCUUAAACUAAAGUGGUGAUACAAACUGACCUAAGACAGGAAAUUUUUACAAGGAUUAUAUGUCAGGAAUUGUGAAAAACAGAGUUGAAAUGUAUUUGGCUAAGGUGUAUGUAAACUUCCGACUUUAACUGUAUGGACAGUGCCUUCGGAAAGUAUUCAGACCCCUUGACUUUUUCCACAUUUUGUUAUGUUGCAGCCUUAUUCUAAAAUGGAUUGAUAGAAAACAUUCUUCUCAGCAAUCUACACACAAAUCCCCAUAAUGACAAAGUGAAAACAGUUUUUUAGAGAUUUUAGAAAAUGUAUUAAAAUUAAAAAGACCCCUUAUUUAUGUAAGUAUUCAGACUCUUUGCCAUGAGACUGUUUCCAUUGAUCAUCCUUGAGAUGUUUCUACAACUUGAUUGGACAUGAUUUGGAAAGGCACACACCUGUCUAUAUAAGGUCCCACAGUGCAUGUCAGAGCAAAAACCAUGCCAUGAGGUUGAAGGAAUUGUCCGUAGAACUCAGAGACAGAAUUGUGUCGUGGCAAAGAUCUGGGGAUGGGUACCAAACAUUUCUGCAACAUUGAAGGUCCCCAAGAACACAGUGGCUUCCAUCAUUCUUAAAUGUAAGGAGUUUGGAACCACCAAGACUUUUCCUAGAACUGAGCAAUCAGGGGAGAAGGGCCUCGGUCAGGGAGGUGAACAACAAUCCGAUGGUUACUCUGACAGAGCUCCAGAGUUCCUCUGUGGAGAUGGGAGAACCUUCCAGAAGGACAACCAUCUCUGCAGCACUCCACCAAUUAAGCCUUUAUGGUAGAGUGGCUAGAUGGAAGCCACUCCUCAGUAAAAGGCACAUGACAGCCCGCUAGGAGUUUUCCAAAAGACACCUAAAGGACUCUCCGACCUUCAGAAACAAGAUUCUCUGGUCUGAUUAACAAGAUUUUACUAUUUAGCCUGAAUGCCAAGCAUCACGUCUGGAGGAAACCAGGCACCAUCCCAACAGUGAAGCAUUGUGGUGGCAGCAACAUUGUCUGGGGAUGUUUUUCAGUGGCAGAGACUGAAGGAUUGAAGGGAAGAUGAAUGAAGCAAAGUACAGAGAGAUCCUUGAUGAAAACCUGCUCCAGAGUGCUGGAGCACUCAGGACCUCAGACUGGGGCGAUGGUUCACCUUCCAACAGGACAACGAUCCUGAGCACACAGCUAAGAUAAAGCACGAGUGGCUUCGGGACAAGUCUCUGAAUGUCAUUGAGUGGCCCAGCCAGAGCCCAGACUUGAACCCGAUCCAACAUCUUUGGAGAGACCUGAAAAUAGCUGUGCAGCGACGCUCCCUAUCCAACCUGACAGAGCUUGAGAGGAUCUGCAGAGAAGAAUGGGAGAAACUCCCCAAAUACAGGUGUGCCAAGCUUGUAGCAUCAUACCCAAGAAUACUCGAGGCUGUAAACGCUGCCAAAGGUGCUUCAGAGAAGUACCGAGUAAAGUGUCUGAAUACUUGUGUGAAUGUGAUAUUUCAGUUCUUUAUUUUUUUAAAUAAAUUUGCAAAAAUGUCUAAACGUGUUUUUGCUUGGUCACUAUGGGGUAUUGUGUGUAGAUUGAGGGGGAAACAAUGUAAUCAAUUUUAGAAUAAGGCUGUAACGUAACAUGGGGAAAGUCAAGGGGUCUGAAUACUUUCCAAGUACAUUGUAUAUAGUGGUUUUAUAUAUAUAUUUUUUACAAAUGUAUUGACAAGUGAUGACAGCUGUAUCAGAAACCAAUAAAGUGUCGAUGAUAACUUCUGGA